rnacentral:rRNA from 1 species
UACGGAGGGUGCAAGCGUUAUCCGGAUUUACUGGGUUUAAAGGGAGCGCAGGCGGAUUGGUAAGUCAGUGGUGAAAUACCCGUGCUUAACAUGGGAACUGCCAUUGAUACUAUCAGUCUUGAAUGUUGUUGAGGUUUGCGGAAUGGGUCAUGUAGCGGUGAAAUGCAUAGAUAUGACCCGGAACACCUAUUGCGAAGGCAGCUAACUACGCGAAUAUUGACGCUGAG